rnacentral:rRNA from 1 species
UGCAGUCAGGGGGUCGCAAGACAACCGGCAGACGAGAUAGUAAUAAGUAGGUMCSAACCUAGAAGUCAGGAAUAGCUAGUCGAAAGAUUAGGUAAUACUUGAUAGUCCCGCAAGGGUAAAGAUUUAUCGCUUCUAGAUCGGCCUGCUCGGUAUCAGCUAGUUGGUAAGGUAAUGGCUUACCAAGGCAAUGACGCCRAGGGGGGGGUGAGAGCCUGUUCCCCAUCGAUGGAACUGAGAUACGGUCCAUACACCUACGGGKGGCUGCAGUCGAGAAUAUUCGACAAUGGGCGAAAGCCUGAUCGAGCGACSCCGCGUGCAGGAUGAAGUGCUUCGGUAUGUAAACUGCUUUUGUAGACCAGAAAGUUUAUUGAUCGGUCUAARAAUAAGAGGUUGCUAAACUCGUGCCAGCAGCAGCGGUAAUACGAGUGCCUCGAGCGUUAUCCGGAAUCAUUGGGCGUAAAGGGUGUGCAGGUGGUCUUAUUAGUCUUUUGUUAAAUUCUUCGGCUCAACCGGGGACCUGCAAGGGAAACGGUAAGACUUGAGGAUGCGAGAGGUUAACGGAACUCAUAGUGUAGCGGUGAAAUGCGUUGAUAUUAUGGGGAACACCAAAUGCGAAGGCAGUUAACUGGAGCACUCCUGACACUGAAACACGAAAGCGUGGGUAGCGAAUGGGAUUAGAUACCCCAGUAGUCCA